GAUGAACGCUGGCGGCGUGCCUAAUACAUGCAAGUCGAGCGAACAGACGAGGAGCUUGCUCCUCUGACGUUAGCGGCGGACGGGUGAGUAACACGUGGAUAACCUACCUAUAAGACUGGGAUAACUUCGGGAAACCGGAGCUAAUACCGGAUAAUAUAUUGAACCGCAUGGUUCAAUAGUGAAAGACGGUUUUGCUGUCACUUAUAGAUGGAUCCGCGCCGCAUUAGCUAGUUGGUAAGGUAACGGCUUACCAAGGCAACGACACGUAGCCGACCUGAGAGGGUGAUCGGCCACACUGGAACAGAGACACAGUCCAGACUCCUAAGGGAAGACGCAGUAGGGACUCUUCCGCAAUGGAGGAAAGCCGAAGGGAGCACCGCCGCGUAAGUGAUGAAGGUCUUCGGAUCGUAAAACUCUGUUAUUAGGGAAGAACAAAUGUGUAAGUAACUAUGCACGUCUUGACGGUACCUAAUCAAAAAGCCACGGCUAACUACGUG
rnacentral:rRNA from 1 species